ensembl:lncRNA novel transcript, sense intronic to novel protein
UUGUAACAUUACCAUCUUCCUACUAUUACAACUUCCUAUGUCUGUGAACAAAUUAUGUAUCAAAUUAUGUAAAGUCCAACUCUUUUCAACACAAAAUACAUUUUUUAUGGCUUUCAUAUAAAAACUUGAGUUUUCACAAAGUGAUGUAUGUUUAAGAAAAGAACAAACAGUGAUGAACUUAGGCUAAACUUCUAUAGACAUGUGCUUUUUUUCCAUCAAAACAUAUUACUUCCAAUAAUCUUGCUCCUUAGAGGCUUGUGCGGCAAACCUUUGACUUAUGAAUAGUAUCAUCCUGUAAAUUCAUGUUAGCCUUUCCAUAGGAAAUUGUGGUUGUCCUGUCAAACUGCUAGUUUUUAAGCCCCUUGUGAGCAGGGGACUAUGUGUCUAUUAAUUUUAUAUACUCCCAGAAAUGAGCUCAUGGGUCUUAAAAAUAAGUAGUGAAUUAAAAUAUUGGAAAAGAGCAGCCACAAGUUCAGAAAGUAGUUACAUUGGCACCUUGGUGAGAGGGAAAGAUAUCUGAGUGAGUCUCUAGAUGUAGCUGAAGGUGUAAUCUCACUUUCAUUUUUAGUAUGCCACUUUAUACAUGUUUCUUUAACAUGUAAUAAUUGACUGCUGACCUUACAUUGCAAUACACUUCACUGUCCUGUUUACACCUUUUUCAAUUAAAUGUUAUUUUCACAAGUA